UACGGGGGGAGCAAGCGUUGUUCGGAUUUACUGGGCGUAAAGGGCGCGUAGGCGGUCAGCACAAGUCAGUUGUGAAAUCUCCGGGCUUAACCCGGAAAGGUCAACUGAUACUGUGCGACUAGAGUGCGGAAGGGGCAACUGGAAUUCCCGGUGUAGCGGUGAAAUGUGUAGAGAUCGGGAGGAACACCGGUGGCGAAAGCGCUUUGCUAGUUUAUAACUGACAUUGAGGAACGAAAGCUAAGGGAGCAAACGGG
rnacentral:rRNA from 1 species